rnacentral:lncRNA from 1 species
CCCAGCCCAACACCACCCAGGCCAACACCACCCACCCCAACACCACCCAGGCCAACACCACCCACCCCAACACCACCCAGCCCAACACCACCCAGGCCAACACCACCCAGCCCAACACCACCCAGCUCAACACCACCCAGACCAACACCACCCAGCUCAACACCACCCAGACCAACACCACCCAGACCAACACCACCCAGCCCAACACCACCCAGACCAACAUCACCCAGCUCAACACCACCCAGACCAACACCACCCAACCCAACACCACCCAGCUCAACACCACCCAGCUCAACACCACCCAGACCAACACCACCCAGCUCAACACCACCCAGACCAACACCACCCAGCCCAACACCACCCAGGGCAACACCAUCCACCCCAACAUCCCCCAGGGCAACACCAUCCACCCCAACAUCACCCAGGGCAACACCACCCAGGCCAACACCACCCAGGCCAACACCAUUCAGGCCAACACCAUCCAGCCCAACACCACCCAGGCCCAGCACGUCAACCACCACCACAAACAGUCCUUCAACCACUCCCCUUCCAGUGACAGCACCCACCUCUGAAUCCAUAACAACAGCAUCUACAAUAAACAGAAGCAGUAUGCCCACCACUAGUUCACGGCCGACAACCCAUGUGAUUACCUCCUCAACGACCAAUUUGAGCACAGAGUCCUUGCCCACAAUGCCUUCCUCAACACCUGAAGACAAUCACCACACUUCUAGAACAUCUGAAUCUGGAACUUCUGGAACUCCCCUCACUUCUAGAACAUCCGGAUUCACUUCUGCCAUUUUUACAACCGGUGUCCAAUCCACAGCACGCUCCAACAGUCCUUCAACAGCGACACUUUACACUACAGAUGUGACCCCAACCCAUAUUAUUGCAUCCACUGCCAUCUCAUCUUACAGCACACCCAUGACUGAGAGCACUUCCAGCGAUGCUACGCUUACCCUCACUACCUCGACAUCUUUUACUUCUCCUGUAACAGAUGCUUCAAUAACCAC